AGGGAUAUAAUUGAUGUUGCAAAACAUCAGUAACCCAAACUGUUAACCGAGGGUUCGAGUCCUUCUAUCCUUG
rnacentral:tRNA from 2 species